rnacentral:snoRNA from 1 species
GGGAUAUGAUGAGUGGUCAAAACUCGCAUUUUAUAAUUGCGAGUAGGGUGUCCGCCCAAGCCUGGUUACGACAAAUUGGGCAUCCCAAUUUUUACCAAUCUGAUCCC